GGAUGAACGCUGGCGGCGUGCUUAACACAUGCAAGUCGAACGAAGCAUUUAGGACAGAUUACUUCGGUUUGAAGUUCUUUAUGACUGAGUGGCGGACGGGUGAGUAACGCGUGGGUAACCUGCCUUGUACUGGGGGAUAGCAGCUGGAAACGGCUGGUAAUACCGCAUAAGCGCACAAUGUUGCAUGACAUGGUGUGAAAAACUCCGGUGGUAUAAGAUGGACCCGCGUCUGAUUAGCUAGUUGGUGAGAUAACAGCCCACCAAGGCGACGAUCAGUAGCCGACCUGAGAGGGUGACCGGCCACAUUGGGACUGAGACACGGCCCAGACUCCUACGGGAGGCAGCAGUGGGGAAUAUUGCACAAUGGAGGAAACUCUGAUGCAGCGACGCCGCGUGAGUGAAGAAGUAAUUCGUUAUGUAAAGCUCUAUCAGCAGGGAAGAUAGUGACGGUACCUGACUAAGAAGCGCCGGCUAAAUACGUG
rnacentral:rRNA from 1 species